rnacentral:rRNA from 1 species
GGACUAUUAAAGUUUUUCUAACUCCCAACCCAUGUGAACUUACCUUUUGUUGCCUCGUGCAGAAGUUAUAAGUCUUCUUAUAGCUGCUGCCGGUGGACCAUUAAACUCUUGUUAUUUUAUGUAAUCUGAGCGUCUUAUUUUAAUAAGUCAAAACUUUCAACAACGGAUCUCUUGGUUCUGGCAUCGAUGAAGAACGCAGCGAAAUGCGAUAAGUAAUGUGAAUUGCAGAAUUCAGUGAAUCAUCGAAUCUUUGAACGCACAUUGCGCCCAUUAGUAUUCUAGUGGGCAUGCCUGUUCGAGCGUCAUUUCAACCCUUAAGCCUAGCUUAGUGUUGGGAAUCUACUUCUCUUAGGAGUUGUAGUUCCUGAAAUACAACGGCGGAUUUGUAGUAUCCUCUGAGCGUAGUAAUUUUUUUCUCGCUUUUGUUAGGUGCUAUAACUCCCAGCCGCUAAACCCCCAAUUUUCUGUGGUUGACCUCGGAUCAGGUAGGAAUACCCGCUGAACUUAAGCAUAUCAAUAAGGCGGAGGAGAAUCUUAUAGAGUUUAUAAACUCCCAACCCAUGUGAACUUACCUUUUGUUGCCUCGGCAGAAGUUAUAAGUCUUCUUAUAGCUGCUGCCGGUGGACCAUUAAACUCUUGUUAUUUUAUGUAAUCUGAGCGUCUUAUUUUAAUAAGUCAAAACUUUCACAACGGAUCUCUUGGUUCUGGCAUCGAUGAAGAAGCAGCGAAUGCGAUAAGUAAUGUGAAUUGCAGAAUUCAGUGAAUCAUCGAAUCUUUGAACGCACAUUGCGCCCAUUAGUAUUCUAGUGGGCAUGCUGUUCGAGCGUCAUUUCAACCUUUAAGCCUAGCUGAGUGUGGGAAUCUACUUCUCUUAGGAGUUGUGACUUCUGAAAUACACGCGGAAUGUAGUAUCUCUGAGCGUAGUAGUUUUUUUCCUCGCUUUGUUAGAUGCUAUACUCAGCUCUAACCAAUUUUUCUGUGUGUGUACCUCGUACUCGGUAGGAGAUACCGCUCGUAACC